AGGCGAAGACCUUACGUAGGCUUGACAUACACGGGAAAGCUCCCACAAACGGGAGCCCCUCUUCGGAGCCCGUGCACAGGUGCUGCAUGGCUGUCGUCAGCUCGUGUCGUGAGAUGUUGGGUUAAGUCCCGCAACGAGCGCAACCCUCGCCCUUAGUUGCCAUCAUUAAGUUGGGCACUCUAAGGGGACUGCCGGUGAUAAGCCGCGAGGAAGGUGGGGAUGACGUCAAGUCCUCAUGGCCCUUACGGGCUGGGCUACACACGUGCUACAAUGGCGGUGACAGUGGGAUGCAAUGGAGCAAUCCUGCGCAAAUCUCAAAAAGCCGUCUCAGUUCGGAUUGUGCUCUGCAACUCGAGCACAUGAAGUUGGAAUCGCUAGUAAUCGCAGAUCAGCACGCUGCGGUGAAUACGUUCCCGGGUCUUGUACACACCG
rnacentral:rRNA from 1 species